AAAGAAAUUGUAUCUAAAUAUAUAUUUUGGCCCGUUAUAAAUUUUAUUUAAUUUCGGUUAUAAUGCGGUUAACAAAAUAAAAUUUCACGUUAUAACUAUAAUUAUACCCAUUUUUAAUAUAGUAUUUUGAACUCAUUAUAUAUUUUUUGGCGAUAAUAAUUAGUUAAAAUAUUUCAUCCAAUUUAAUUAAAUAUUUUUAUUAAAAAUACUAUCUUGAUCGUUGAAGAAAUAUCCGCGGACAGAUUAAAAAUUGGUUAACUAUUUCCUAACAACUCUUUCAAAAUAAAAAAAAAGGAAAUAAAUACCAAGUUAAAUUACUACCGUUUAAUAAUAUAUUAUAUAUACGCUAAACCAGGUCCGCGGUCCGUAUUUGUUUGAUUGUUUUUUUUGUAUAAUUAAUACUAAUAUUUGGGUUUUUAUAUAUUAAUUUUAAUACUCAACUUGCAAUUUUAAGAAACUGUUAAAAUUAGAAUUUUAAAUUUUAACGCACGAACCGUUGUAAAGCAAUACGGACAUUUUAUAAAGUGAAUUUAUUAUUCCCAAUUAAAACAAGCAAUUUUAAUUUGGAUUUAUUUAAUAACAUAUAUUUCCAGGUAUUCUUGCGUUAGAAAAGUACCAGUUAUUUAAAUCAGCGUAUGUAGUGGUAUAUAUAAUUUAAAUAUAAUAUUAACUUCAAAUAUUAAAAAUUGUAAAUUGGAUUAUAAAUAAAAUUUAUUAUUAUAUAAUAUAUUGAGCGAAAAUAUAAUUGCUAAUUUAGAAUAAUAUUUAAAACCGUCCGCCGCGUUUUGCUAAUAAUUUGCAAAUAUCAUUAAUUAUAAAACAAUUACGCGUAUACUGCUAAAUCUUUAUUUAUAAAAGAUUAUUUUUCUCAAAACCGCCAACAGUAAUUAUUAUCACCAAAAACACGGGCCGGUACCAGAGAAGCCAGGUGCGAUUAACCCCUUGUUAAUAUGAGUUAUGCAAAGAAAUUACCAACUAUUAAAAUAAAAAUCACAAAGGGAACAAAUUAUAUAAUACCGUAUAAUUAUAAAAAGGAAACAUAUUCGUAAUAAAUAAAUCCUUGAUUUGAAAUUACAAGUUUUACAAACUAAAAAACUAGGCGUAAAAGGAAAUUCAUUUAAAAUAUAUUUACUAUUAUAAAUAUAAAUCCAUUUUGGAAUUUUUGGUGCCAAUUAAAUUGUAAUCGAAUAAAAUAUUUACUAUAUAAUAAAUUGCAAUUUUACCACUAAUUAUUAUUAGUUCCAGUAAUACUAUUAGCCCGUUGGGCAAUUUAACCCACAAUAUUUAAUUAUCAAAAGGAAUAUUAACUAAUAUUAUAACUAUUAUAAUUUGAUUGCAUUUUUUCCAUAUUUUGCCUCAAAAUAUCUUUAAUAAUACCGCCAAAAUAAUAUUUCCUGACAAAGUUACAUUUUCAAACUCUUUUAUCACCAGCGCUCCGUUUAACGCCAACGAUGUGCGUAACAAAUUGCGACAUAUUCGACUAAAUAUUAAUAGCUGCAAAAACUAAUAAAAAGAAAUGUUUAAUAAGAGUUACAUUUUAUAAUUAUUAUUAUUACCGUAAAAUAAAAUAUUUUAUAAAGACUGGGGGGUAUUUUGCUUUGUUAUAAGCGAGGAUAAUUUUAAUAAUAUGCAAAUAAGAUUAUUUAUACGUUUUUAAUUCUUUAUAAACGUUAUAUUAUCCUGGUUUAAACUUUUAUACGAAAUCCUCCAAAUUAUCAUAUAACAAUUGUAAAGUUACUUUAGAAUUUAAUAAUUGUAAUAUUUGUACAAAAUAUAUUGACCGAAUAUGUAAAAGUAUAAGGAAAAUAAUUUCAACAAAUAUAAAUCAAUGUAUUUUAUUAUAACCAAACAGGCGUUUAAAUAUAUUAGCAAAUUUUGACAGAUUAUAAUUAUAUUAUUAUAGUCCCGUACAAUUCUAAUUUUACGUUUUUUUACGGCAUGAAACAUUAAUAGAACGAGUUCGUGAAAAGAAACCAAUUUAUAUUUUAUUAAGUCGAAUAUGUAAAAUUAAUAAUUAAAAAAGAAUAACCAUUUAAAUAAAUAAUAAUUAAAAUAGCGCGAAAAAAUAAUGUAUAAGAAUUCGUAUUAGGAUAUAUUAAUAUAUAGCAAAAAUACUAAUAUUUCAACCGGUUUUCUCAAAAUAAUACCGCGUAUAAAAUAUAAAAUAAAUUAAUAAAUUUUGAUUGAAUAUAUAAAAAGGUUUCCCCAAAAGUUUAUAUAUAAUAAAUACUUUCAAUGUAAUAAAACGGUAUAAAUUGCUAAAAAUUGCCCCAGCAAUUAAAAUAGCGCACCCGGUUUUAUUAUUUAUUGUAAAAUUAUACGGAAAUACCCCACGACCUAACACUACCAAUUAUAAUAAAACGCAGCAAAACUAAUAUAAUUUAAUAUAUUAUACCGGAUAUUAUAGUACAAAAUAUAUUUGUUAUAAUAACUUUAAAGCAAAUAUUAGAAAAUAUAUACAAGAAUUUAAAUGCUCCCGAGUUUAACAAUCCUCAACCGCGUAUUUAUUGAAAUUAUAUAACUGAUAAACUUAUAUUUAUAAUAAAAUAUUAGGAAGUAUUAAAUAAUUACCAAAGAAAUAGCUCCGCUAAUUCGUACAUUCUGAAAUAAAAAUUACAAAGUUGAUAAACUAUCAGUCGAAAUUUAGAAGAAUUACAUUAAAAUUAUAAUUGAUAUAAACCGUAUUUAUUAUUAUUUAAAUAAAUUCCACUUUGAAAUUAUUUAAUAGGGAUUAUAUCUAAGUUGGUUUUAUUUAUUUAAAGACAAUUAUAAUUUUGCCCCUGGUUAUAAAGUUCGCUAAUUAUUUACUAAAAAUGUUGGAUUGCUUUAAUUUAUUAUUGUUAAUUCCUUUAUAAUAGCAAUCUUGCUCCGGAUUUGGCCUCCCGCGCUAAUUUCGCUUUAUUGUUAUAAAUAUUAAUAUAAUAGUUUUAUACGAAAACGUUUAAAAGAACUGGAGAAAUUAUACAAAUGUUAUUAUAUAAAUAUAUUUGGAAUAAAUAUAAUUGCAAGAAUAUAAUAUAGGGUUAUACGGGGUAAAAAUAUAAUAAUUAUUAAUUUUUAACUAAAAUAUUAAUACGGGGGUGAUUUGAAGUUUUGUGCAUAAUUGAAAUUCUAUAAUUUGAAUAUAACUAGUUUCCUAAAAAUACCAACUUUAAAUAUAUUAGAAAAUAACCGCACCUAGAAUAUUAGGAAACUUUAAAUAUUUAUACAAAUAUAAUUAAAUAUUAUAUUUAGCUCGUUUAUAACCCGUAAAUUUCCAUUUUGGAAGCGUAAACUAUGCGAAAACGUUCCCGCUAUAAUAAUAAAAUGUAUUUUCUUUUUUUGUUAAUUAUAAUUCCUUUUUAUUUUUUUAAUUAAAAUUGCUAUUUUCCUAAUUGUCCCAACCACCCCUGGCAAUAUUAUAAAAUGUAAAUUCCGUCCCCAUUCCUAGUAUAAACUCCCUUUUAACGCGAUUUAUAAUAUAAAACCCCAAAUAACUCUGUAAAUUUGUUUUUAAAUUAGACAAAUCCCCUUUUAUUUUAUAUAUACUAAAGCAAUAUAUUUUAACCUGCGUCUUUAUAUAAACAUUUGUUUUAUAAACGGGUUCACGGAAAAUAUUUUACAAACUUCCGCAUGGUUACAAAAAUAAAAUGUUGGCUAUUAUAUUUUUAUUAGUAUAUUUGUAGCAAAUUUCGAUUUUUAUAUAAUUUUAUUUACUAUUAUAGACUAAAUAUAUAUUUCAAAGACUAUUAAAUCAAGUUUCAAAUAAUAAAUGCUUUUUUAAUAUCUUUAUUGUAUACUAGAAAACUUCAGUUUUAUUACUUUUUUAUAUAAUAUAUAUUUCUAAAUAUUAUAAUAUCCGGAUAUAUUUUUAUAUUGGCCGUAACUCCGAAAAGUCUUUGGUAUUCAAUUGGUUAUAUUUUAAAUAAAAUCUCAGAUUUACAAAUCCUAGUGUAUUAUUUAAUAAAUAAAAUUGACGGUAUUAUUUUCAAAUCGGUUAUUAUAAACUAUGUAUAUUUAUAAUUAAAAUCAAAUAAUUAAACCAAAUAUGUUAGUUAAAAGUAUUGGUAUAUUAAUAGGGAUUUAAAGGUUAACCCUAAAUGCGGCGUAACGCUAACCAGGAAUGAAAACGUUGUAGCGAUAAUAGCAAUACUUUGUAAAUAAAUAUAGGGUAAAAAUAUACUAAAAUUUCAAACAAUUGGUUAUAAUAAUUAGGGGAAAUUUGCUUUUUUUCUUUAUAUACCCUCCAAUAUUAAAGUGGGGGUCGGUACGCCAAAAGGUUAUUGGUACCGCAGGUAAUUUUCCAAAAAAUUAAUUUAUAUGAGUUUUUUAAAAAAACACCUUUAUUUGCAUAUAACCCUUUUCUGGAUUUGCAUUUGUAUGGGAAUUUGGUGACACUUUUGACUCGGUAUGGGGUAAUUAAUUCCACUUACUAAUUUUUAAACCGCAGCGCCUAUAUAUAAUAAAUUAACAGAAUUUUAACAACCCAAUUUCGGCGCUAUAUAUUAGAGGUUAUAUAUAAAUAAAAGCGGGCCUAUUAUAUUUAAAAUAAUAUAUAUAAUUAACAGACUUUUACCUGUUGGGCCGUAAUAUUCCGGUAAUAAUUUCCGCAUACGGGACUGUAAUUAUGAAAAAAAUAUCGUAUUUGUAUAUUGCGAAAAAAACUGAUUUUAAUAUUGUUACAAAUUUCAAAAUUAAUCAUAAUUAUAUUACAUGUAACGGUUUGUUUUAAUUAUUGUAAAUAAAAUUAAUAUGCGUGCUUAUUAUUAUUUAUAAACUUUAACUUAUUUUUCUAUACCACCAUUUACUAAUAAUUAGUGUUUUCUAUUAAUAUAAUAUAACGUAUUUUGAUAUUUUUUAAAUUUGUACAGAUUUGUAUAAUUUGACUCAGAAAGGAAAAACCUAUAUUUUGUUGUUGCUUUUAAUAUGAUGGGAUUUAAUUAUUUGUAAAUUUUACAACAGCAAAUUGAAAAUCGUUUAACGAACGUUUGGCGCUUAUUACUAAUAUAUAUUUUGGUAUAAUUACUAUUAUUAUUCUGCGUUUAACAGCCCAGCUAAAACUGCUACGGUUGAUUAUUAAAUAAUCGGUUAUAAGAUUUAUUUUUCUAUUAAAAGAAAUAUUCCCGUAUUAAUAAAAAUUAGAAUAAUUAUUUUUUAAACUAUUUUAUAUUUGAGACCAACUAUAUAUUGCAAUUUCGUAUAAAACAGCGUUUUGAUUAUUAUAUUAACAAAUAAUAAAAUAAUAUAAAAUCACAAUCGUGGUUUUCUUAGCCCGGGAGAUUAGCCAGUAUUAUAUUUUAUAUAUAUUAUAUAUAUUAUUCUUGGAACCUUUUGCGUUCGUCAUAUAUAUUUCCCUCAAAUAUGUUUAUUUGUUUAUAUUAUCAAAUAAACCUGAUAUUGAAAAAAUUUAUAUUUAACCUUUUCGUAGUUGGAAUUAUUAUAUUCGGAAAUUAAAAUGCGACUUUUUAAUUUGGCUUUUAUUUUCGCGUUUUUCAAAUUAAACGUUAUAUAUAGUAUUGGGUAUAAAUAAACUCGUUUUGCAAAUUAGUUUAACAAUUAUUUUAAUUCCGGAUUUUUUAUAUAUUAUAUAUUAUCCACAAAUAUAUCAUUUUAUCAAAUUAAACAUUUAAUAUUAGUAAUAUUAAUUGCGAAAUAAAUUACUAAUGUCCGUCCCAUUGGUGUCUUUUUAUAAAUUUAUUAUAAUCGCGGCGGUUUAAAAUAUCAAACAACGUCCAUUCGCGGGUUGGAAAAUAAACUAAAUUAUAAUUUUAUUAAUUUAAUAUUUGUACUCUCUCCUUAUUAUAUUUUUAAUUAUCAUUUAAUUACAAAACAUUGCCACUAUUCUUAUUUGUAAAAACUGUAAAUUUUGGAAAUGUUCUGAUAAAACCUUGCAACAAUUUCAAAAUUAAAUAAUAAUAUAUUCCUUUUUAUUAUAAAUGGUAUAAUAAUGUUUUUAUUCCGUAACUUAUAUUAAAUCGAAAUUAUUAUAAUUUUUUUACCGUUUUCCUUAUAAUAAUAUUACACUUAUUAACAACGUAUUGCAAUUGAAUCGAACAUUUGUAAUUAUAUUUAUAUUAAAUUUGAAAAAUAACGUUAUCUUGGUAUAUUUUCUUUUAACGCGGUAAAUAUUUUCUACUAUACGGGUUUUUAUUUAAACGGCAUAUUUUUAUUAUAUAAUAUUAUUAGCAAAUACCUUUAUAUUAAAUUAUCGAAAUUAAAUAUUCAGCAAAAAUUUAGAAAUUUAAAACCUUUUUAAUAUUUUUUUGGCAAAUUAAAAUUUU
rnacentral:sRNA from 1 species